CUCGUAGGCGGCCCGUUAGGUCAGGAGUCAAAUUCGGGGGCUCAACCCCCGCGCGCUCCUGAUACCGGCGGGCUUGAGUUUGGUAGGGGAAGGUGGAAUUCCCAGUGUAGCGGUGAAAUGCGUAGAUAUAUGGAAGAACACCAGUGGCGAAGGCGGCUUUCUGGACUGUAACUGACGUUGAGGCUCGAAAGUGUGGGUAGCAAACA
rnacentral:rRNA from 1 species